GUAAAAGUCGUAACAAGGUUUCCGUAGGUGAACCUGCGGAAGGAUCAUUAUUGAAUAAACUUGAACAGGCUGUUGCUGGUCACCCUAGGGGGGCAUGUGCACGCUUGUCAUCUUUAUUUCUCCAACUGUGCACACACUGUAGACCUGGAGGGUUUUUGAUUCAUUCGAGUUGGCACUGCAGCGCUUAAAUUAACAAAGUCUGCUUUGCCUUUGCCUUUUCAGGUCUACGUCCUUUUACAAUCUCAAAUAUGUUUAGAAUGAUAAUAAAGUUUAAAUAUAACAACUUUCAGCAACGGAUCUCUUGGCUCUCGCAUCGAUGAAGAACGCAGCGAAAUGCGAUAAGUAAUGUGAAUUGCAGAAUUCAGUGAAUCAUCGAAUCUUUGAACGCAUCUUGCGCUCCUUGGUAUUCUGAGGAGCAUGCCUGUUUGAGUGUCAUUUCAAGUUCUCAACCGCAUCAAUUUCUUCUGAUUGGUGUGGCUUGGAUGUUGGGGGUUUUAUUUUGCAGGCUUCUUCUUUCUAGGAGGAAAUCGGCUCCCCUGAAAUAGAUUAGUAGUAUAUCUGAGCCUACUACAAAGGUGUGAUAAAUUAUCUAUGCCUUUUCAUAGUAUGGACGACUGCUUCUAACAAGUGGAAACACCUUUUAUGACAAAUUUGACCUCAAAUCAGGUAGGACUACCCGCUGAACUUAAGCAUAUCAAUAAGCGGAGGAAAAGAAACUAACAAGGAUUCCCCUAGUAACUGCGAGUGAAGCGGGAAAAGCUCAAAUUUGAAAUCUGGCAGCUUUUUGGCUGUCCGAGUUGUAAUCUAGAGAAGUGUUACCUGUGCUGAACCGUGUACAAGUCUCCUGGAAUGGAGCAUCAUAGAGGGUGAGAAUCCCGUCUUUGACAUGGACUAUCUGUACGUUAUGGUGCGCUCUCAAAGAGUCGAGUUGUUUGGGAAUGCAGCUCAAAAUGGGUGGUAAAUGCCAUCUAAAGCUAAAUAUUGGCGAGAGACCGAUAGCGAACAAGUACCGUGAGGGAAAGAUGAAAAGAACUUUGGAAAGAGAGUUAAACAGUACGUGAAAUUGCUGAAAGGGAAACGCUUGAAGUCAGUCGCGUUGACUAGAAAUCAGCCUUGCUCUUGCUUGGUGUACUUUCUUGUUGAUGGGUCAGCAUCAAUUUUGACCAUUGGAUAAAGUCUCUGGGAAUGUGGCAUCUUAGGAUGUGUUAUAGCCCAGGGUCGCAUACGGUGGUUGGGAUUGAGGAACUCAGCACGCCGCAAGGCCGGGUUUCGACCACGUUCGUGCUUAGGAUGCUGGCAUAAUGGCUUUAAUCGACCCGUCUUGAAACACGGACCAAGGAGUCUAACAUGCCUGCGAGUGUUUGGGUGGAAAAACCCAUGCGCGAAAUGAAAGUGAAAGUUGAGAUCCCCCUCGAAAGGGAGCAUUGACGCCCGGACCAGACCUUUUGUGACGGAUCCGCGGUAGAGCAUGUAUGUUGGGACCCGAAAGAUGGUGAACUAUGCCUGAAUAGGGUGAAGCCAGAGGAAACUCUGGUGGAGGCUCGUAGCGAUUCUGACGUGCAAAUCGAUCGUCAAAUUUGGGUAUAGGGGCGAAAGACUAAUCGAACCAUCUAGUAGCUGGUUCCUGCCGAAGUUUCCCUCAGGAUAGCAGAAACUCAUUGUCAGAUUUAUGUGGUAAAGCGAAUGAUUAGAGGCCUUGGGGUUGAAACAACCUUAACCUAUUCUCAAACUUUAAAUAUGUAAGAACGAGCCGUCUCUUGACUGGACCGCUCGACGAUUGAGAGUUUCUAGUGGGCCAUUUUUGGUAAGCAGAACUGGCGAUGCGGGAUGAACCGAACGCGAGGUUAAGGUGCCGGAAUUCACGCUCAUCAGACACCACAAAAGGUGUUAGUUCAUCUAGACAGCAGGACGGUGGCCAUGGAAGUCGGAAUCCGCUAAGGAGUGUGUAACAACUCACCUGCCGAAUGAACUAGCCCUGAAAAUGGAUGGCGCUUAAGCGUGAUACCCAUACCUCGCCGUCAGUGUUGAAGUGACGCACU
rnacentral:rRNA from 1 species